CACUUCUCCUGCUCCGACUCAGGGUCCCUUGCCCCAGGAAGGUGGGGGACGACCCAGCCAAUCUCUCCAGAGCCCGCGGCGUGCACAGCAGAGCUCAGAAGGGCCGCUUCUGAAUCCUCGAGCAGCAGUGUUCGAUUUUCUGUCAAUGCUGACUCCAAACGGCUGCUCUUCCCCAUCCGGGUGCUGCCGGUCUCCAGCCAGCAUGUGCCAGACUCGGAGGGGACAGCAGCUUGAGCUCAUAAAGAUACAAUAAUAAUCGUAAGGGGCAUAACAGGGGUCGGGCACGGUGGCUCACGCCUGUAAUCCCAGCGCUUUGGGAGGCCGAGGCGGGCGGAUCACGAGGUCAGGAGAUCGAGACCAUCCUGGCUAACACGGCGAAACCCCGUCUCUACUAAAAAUACAAAAAACAAAAUCAGCCGGGCGCGGUGGCUCACGCCUGUAAUCCCAGCGCUUUGGGAGGCCGAGGCGGGUGAAUCACGAGGUCAGGAGAUUGAGACCAUCCUGGCUAACACGGUG
rnacentral:lncRNA from 1 species